UGUUCUGUAGCUUAGUUGGUUAAAGCGCCGGUCUAGCCUACACGGAGUCGUGAGUUCGAGUCUCACUAGAACGC
rnacentral:tRNA from 1 species